UAGCUUAAAACCACUGCAUAAGUGUUGGAAUUUCAGUGGUCACGCUAGUGCUCAUGUCUCCUCAGCCACCAACUCGGUCAGCCCUUGUGCAUAGCGCGCUAUCUCCCUGCUUUUAGUUACCACAGCCACCGGCUCCUUCACCUCACAGUGGCCAGAAUGUAGUCACGCCACCGCAAAUCGUCGCCGUGUUUAGUUUCGUCGUCGACCAGCCAACUUAUGUCUUCCUCGAGCAGUUUCAUGCACCCACUGCAAACUUGGACUGUCAGGAGAAGUUUUAUUCCCUUAUCUUUUGGUUAGUUACUUCAUGUGGAGGCCUUGAAGCUUAGAAUGUUUAUGUGUAUCUCUUAUGGAAAGGCUUCACCCUUCCAAUUAUUAUAAUAAGUUAUGCACUUUGGGUACUAUCAGGACUUGUAAUAAUUACAAUUCUUCUUAUGUUGUAAAACUUGAGCUUUGUAAAUGUAAAAUAUGUUUUGUAAAGUCUUCCGCUCUAUCUCUGAAGUGUGUGUGUAUCGAGUGUGAUUACUGUAAUAUGCAUGAAUGUGGGAGAUCCUUAGGAUAAUGAGUUCAAGUUGUUGAACUCAUGAUAGCCUUGUUAAGUUACCUGGUACACGUGCAUAGCCAUCUGAGGCCUUCAAGGCAAGGAUUGGUGCACGUGGACCCGAUAACUCGGGAGGGCUGUAACACCGUGGUAUCGGAGCGAUCCCCCAUUAGCAUGGAUAUUAAAGUAAUCCUUUGAUAAACUUCAAAAUGAUUUUGAGUCUAAAUAAUUUUUAUAAACUUAAGAAUCUAUAAUCACGGCCUAAUAGUAGAAGUGCAAAUAAUAUGUGGUUAAAACUAAGGACUAAAAGGUGGCUUAGUUUAAAAUGCUAACCACUUACCAAUAACCUGGGAAGGGUAAUGCAUACAUGUGUAAUGUUAUUUUUAGUACCAUUCAGUUUUGAAUAUAUCGACGCUUAGAUAAAGGUGAGUUGUGAGAGUAUGACCGAACAAACGUCAGUCUAGGGGAGUUCUUAAAUGUGGCACUAGACUAUAUACAUAUUCUACAUAUGUAUAUAUGAAGGUUGCAAUGUGGAGUAAUUACUUUUCUAGGAUUCAAUACCCCAUGGAUGUGUAUGGGUAUACAAACAUGGGAGUGCUGAGAAGUGUAAUGAAUAGUUACCAAAAUGGGCUGCCCUUUUGUUAAAGUGUGGCAGCGGCGCCUAUGCGUGGCUCGGCGCUUAAUGAGGUGUUGGCCUCCAUAUAGAAAUAUAUGGAGUAUAAACUGUGACCAAAUGUGUGAAUUGCAUCAUUGGGUUUGGGCUGUAAUGGAAUUUUCUGCAGGUACACUGGCUAAACUCUAGGAAAAUACGACUAGUUAACUCUGGAGUGAGUAGGUAUGCCACCGCCAUAGAGAGUGCAAGCCACUAUAUGCUGGCAAGAUUGUGAGGACGAAUAGGACGAGCAUGCAUCAUGACAUAUAACUUUAAGUUAAACCCCCUAUGUAGUAGCUUUAGUACGUGUUUCGUCUACCCUGUUCAUGCUACCUGUCUUUGCCUUUCUAUGCUACCUUUCCCUGUUUUUGAAGACUCGAAGCCAAGUUUAGUUGGUGGCCAGAAUACCUUGCGCUGCAGCCAGAAGGACGUUAAGUUCUCGGGUUGAGUUCUGUGAGGUAUUUCGGGCACGUCAUGUUCCAGAAGCCCCUAUGUAAAUAAAGUUCAAAGCGUUUUUGGAUCUAAAGCAAGGUGAAGAAGCGAGUGUAAUGGACUAUUUGAGAGGUUUACUCGCCUAUCCCAGUAUGUUUUGGAUUAUGUGGAUGCCAGUGAGAAAAAAAAGUGAUACAUCCUGCGUGAUCUUAAUGUGAAACUUUAGCUCCUGAUGGCAAUUAGUUUGGUUGAAGGAUAUAAGGAGAUGGUCAGUGAGGCUAUUCUAGGAAAUAAUAAGAUUCGUCUACAUCAGGAGUUUAAGUGAAAGAAGUAAAGGAUAUACCUGAUGUGAGCGAGUUCUCGGAUGUGUUCCUCGAAGAUUUGACUAGUUGCCUCCAAAAAGGGAUGUGGAAUUGCGAUUGGGUUGCAGUACGGGACUCCAUUCACCCUGAAGGUAGCAAUAGGUACCAAGGUUUGAAACAGAGAUUUUGGUGGACCUAUAGCUUAUAAGGUAUAGUUGCCAAAAGGACCUUCAACAGUGCACGACGUGUUCCACGUGUCCCAAUGGAAGUAAUGUCUUCGAGUCCCCAAAUAUGGUAUUGAGAUUUUAGAUGUUAACCAUAAACCAGGUUUAACCUCCUCGGAAUAUCCCAUAAAUGUGUUAGAUCAAAAGGAUCAGGUCACUCGAAGAAAAGUUAUUGAGUUUUACGAGAUACGGUGGAACUAACACCCGGAAGAUAAAUUCACGUAGUAGUCAGAGAAGUAUUUGGAAAAGUAUAUUCCUGAGUUCCUAGUGCCUUGUAAACCCUAGGUUUGUAUAAGUUGUCUUUCGAUGGGGGCACACCUCCUGCCUUAUAGGAGUAACUGAGAUAUAAACCAGUGACGCAUUUCUUUUUCAAUUACUUGGCCUAGAAUUUUAAUCUCGGGACGAGAUUCCUUUUUGGGGGGAAGGCUGUAACACCCCUGGUGUUACGAGAACUAAAAAUUUAGCAUACCAUCAUAUGCACUUGCAUAACUUGCUUGAUACACCUAGAAUGCAUUCACUAGGGUAAAUUUGCAAAAGGGUGAGGUUGUGUCGUUUCGAAGAGAGCAAAAGAAGUUCAGAGACCUUGUUUGAAAUCUAGUGCAAGCAAACAACUUUUAAACCAAGAAAAAUUUGGACAUGAGCUAUAUACACCGAAGUUGGGUUUGAGCUUAAGGUUAACCUUGUUUUUAGUAGGAUGCAAUAAAUUGAUGAAACACUUGAAGUAGAUUAAGUCUAAUUUCAACUUUAAAUUAGCCCAAAAGUGGAUUUUAAGAUCUAGAUAUGUUUUGCUAAAAGUCCGUAUAUAAUAGUUGUGGAUCUUGGAAAAGUGAACAACUUUCUUAUUUGGAUAUUUCCAUGUUUUAUAGAAAAUAUUGGAGUAAAAUGCUAAAUUCAGUUCUGAUUCAGAUUUGAAGUUUGCUGAAAAUAAUAUCAACUAGCUGUUUUGGGCCUUUAUAACCUUUGGUCUAUAAACAAUUUGAAGGUGGACAAUGUAACAACGCUGUAGAGCUACACUAGGGGUACAAAUUUGCUUAGGCAACCUGUCCCUAAAAUCAUAUGCAAUUGGGUGUAAAACUGGUCCAAAAUGGGGUUGUAAUACUUGUGGAGUUUCAGACUUAAUGCAAUCUCUGAAACUGAAGAUUUUAUAUUCUGAAGCAACUUUGGAAGCCUGUUGGUAGCUGAUACAUACAGCUAUGGGUUAAAGUUUAUGUACCAAAGUGGAAUACCAUAUAUUGGCGUAAAAGUUUGGUUAAAGGUCAUACCCCUAAAGCUACAUGGAACUGGGAGAAACAGUGGCUCAAAAAUGUAAUGUUUAUUUCUGAGUUUCAGACUUAGUAUAAAAUCCAGAGUCUAAAUUUGUGUUUGAUGCCAAAUUUGAGCCUCCGUAGUUUGGAAUUCAGGCGAAUUUAGCUAUGGAUCACCAUAUCAAAUUUGUAGAUGAACUAUAGGAGUAUAAACUUUAUUGAGAAACUUGCCCCUAAACCUAUAUUCUACUAGUAGAUAAGGUAGUCCAAAGAGGGGUUAACAGAUCUCUGCAUUUUCAGAGACAGAACAGUACACUAAGUCUGAAAUUGCAAUGUUUUGGCUGAAUUUGUAACUCAUUUGUGCCUAAUACAUAGGGUGUUGGGCUAUGGAGUAUAUAUAGAAAUUAAAGACCAUAAGUUGGUGAGAAAAAUUCUUUAAUAGUGAAGGGUUUAAAAAUGCACAAAAAUUGGAGAAAAGGUUGCUCCAAGUUGGAUGGUGGUGACUGAGUUUAGUUAAGAAUCUAAAACUGAAUUGUAUUCAGUAGCUGAAAACUGAAUUUCAGUGAAAGUUGGUGAGUUUGGAGCUCAUUUGUGACUCAUUCAAGUGGACUUAGACUAUGAAUUAUAUAGUAAAGUUGAAGAUCGAAGUAUUGUGAGUAAGUGCCCUAAAGUGAGAUAGACUUGGUUCUAUAAAAUUUGGGGGUAAAAUGCCUCCAAACUUCUACUGUCAGACUUAAGUUGAGAUGAACUUAGUUGACUGUUGUUGUGUGAUUCAGUGAGUUUUUACCAAUAUUUGGAGCCCUAUGGUAAUUAGUACAUGGAGAAUUGAGUUAGGAAAUCUAAAGCUAGAUGAAAGCCCAUGUUAAGGACAACAAAUUUCAUAUAAGAAGUUGGCCUUGCUGCUGUGUGGAACUUGGGGUACAGUCCAUUGCAAAACCUUUUGUCAGACUUAGUGUGGGCUGUUGCAGACAGCUGAAACUGGCAUUUCAGUAGGGGUGUCUGAUCUUGGAACCCCGUAAGUUUGGGAUCCAUGCAUCUCUGGCUCAUGGAUGCUAUAGAAACUUUGAAGAGCUAUGUGCUGUGAACAAGUUUAUUAUGGAGUGUUGAGUCUGGUGCUAUGCAAAAACUCCAAUAAAAUGUCCCCAAAUAUGUGCUGUUAAAUUGUGCUAAUCUGUCUCAGAUUCACACUGCUGAAUUGGGUUUCAGUGAUGUUGGCUCUACUUUGGUGCUUCACAACUUUUGUUCUAUAUGUUUUCAACCAUGGAUUUAUGUACCAAAGUAGUAGGGCUGCAUCUAGAGAGUAACUUUGGUUAAAAAGGACUGGUCUGUUAUCAUGUAAAAUUGUGCGAUUAGGGAGGGUUAAACUGGGAGGCUGCAAGGGGCAGUAAGUGCUGAUGCACUUGGAAUCAAUGUUUGGUUUAAGUAAACUGAAGAAGAUCCUCUCCCUGCUACUGUCACAUGUGUAUGUGAAUGGUAAUGAGGUGGAAGUACAUCACCAAGGUCGAGAGACCCCAGCUUCACUGUAAAUAUCCAGUUUGAACUAUAUGGGAGUAGGGAGCUGUGGGUAUUAAUUGUUUUUGGUUGCUGUCUGCAGUAGGGGAACAAAGGAGAUACUUGUGUGCUGGGAUUGAGAUAAUAAUGAACCGGACCGCAAACAUUCUAGAGGCCUCACCCCUGCAGAAAAUAUCACUUUGGACUCAAUUAAGUCUGCCCUCGUUGGAGUUCCUAUCUGCUCAUUCCCUUAUCUACAAAAGUGAGCAGGUGAUAUUUGUGCUAUGAACUAGACCAGAUUCAGUGUCAUGGGUGCACAUGUGACUUGUGUGGAGUUAGUGCAAGUGGGCCAGCAAAGUACAUGUGCAUGGAAGCCACGUUGUGCUGCUCCUGCAGUGCUGGCAUGCCCCAGAAUUCGUGUUCACCAAGUGUGGUCGAGUUUCCUUGUCCCUGCCAACAUGUGCAGUGAUGCCUGCCCAUGUUCAAUGCACAUCGGUUGGGUUCAGUGAAGCUUCACCUUGCCCUCAGGUUCUAGCUUAAAACCACUGCAUAAGUGUUGGAAUUUCAGUGGUCACACUAGUGCUCAUGUCUCCUCAGCCACCAACUCGGUCAGCCCUUGUGCAUAGCGCGCUAUCUCCCUGCUUUUAGUGACCACAGCCACCAGCUCCUUCACCUCACAGUGGCCAGAAUGUAGUCACGCCACCGCAAAUCGUCGUCGUGUUUAGUUUCGUCGUCGACCAGCCAACUUACGUCUUCCUCGAGCAGUUUCAUGCACCCACUGCAAACUUGGACUGUCAGAGGUCCCAGAAGAAGAAGUGGUAGCUGAAGGGAAGUCUACUCCAGUGCCUGCUCAUCAAGAGGAUAGAGAUAUCCAACUGAUGGUUGGGUAGAGAGAUCUAGCACCUCUUCUCUGCUACAAAG